CGACAUCGUCGACGGCGUGCAGGCGCCGGACGUGACCAAUGCGAUCUGGCCGAAGCUUGAAGGCAUCCGCAAGAGCCUGCAGCCGGCUUACCGCAUCGAGAUCGGCGGCGCGAUCGAGGAGUCCGAAAAGGGCAAUGCGUCGAUCAACAAGCUGUUCCCGCUGAUGGUGAUCGGCAUGCUGACGCUGCUGAUGAUCCAGUUGCAGAGCUUCUCGCGCCUGGUGCUGGUGUUCCUGACCGCGCCGCUCGGC
rnacentral:misc_RNA from 1 species